rnacentral:lncRNA from 1 species
AGCCGCCUGGAGCGAUGCAAGAAUGUUUUCGUUCUCUAACAGCGUCCCUAUAAAAGCAGGAAUGGACGCAACGCAAACAUCUUUGUUUCGAGUAUAGACCACCCCACUUGUGUCGGUUAGUCUUGUAUCGUCGUUCGCCUGCAAGCUCCAAGAACACCACGAUGAAGACAACGGUGCUGAUACUGGCCGUGCUCCUUAUCUCAGCGGUGAUGUUGACGGAGGGGUCUCCGGCUAAACCUUCAAGAUCCGGGUCAGGGGGGGCUUCGCGAGGCAAGAAAUGUGGGAACUACUUCUGCGAGGCACACGAGACCUGCCAGCCGAGUCCUUUCGGGCGUGCAUGCACCUCUCCAUCACCAUACAAGUAAAAGCCCCAUGGAUGGACACCAACGAGAUCAACCUGCUUGGCUGCUGAAUAAAGUUACUUGCGUUCACAAA